rnacentral:rRNA from 1 species
AGCGAACGCUGGCGGCAGGCCUAACACAUGCAAGUCGAACGAGACCUUCGGGUCUAGUGGCGCACGGGUGCGUAACGCGUGGGAAUCUGCCCUUGGGUUCGGAAUAACAGUUAGAAAUGACUGCUAAUACCGGAUGAUGUCUUCGGACCAAAGAUUUAUCGCCCAGGAAUGAGCCCGCGUCGGAUUAGCUAGUUGGUAGGGUAAAAGCCUACCAAGGCGACGAUCCGUAGCUGGUCUGAGAGGAUGAUCAGCCACACUGGGACUGAGACACGGCCCAGACUCCUACGGGAGGCAGCAGUGGGGAAUAUUGGACAAUGGGCGAAAGCCUGAUCCAGCAAUGCCGCGUGAGUGAUGAAGGCCUUAGGGUUGUAAAGCUCUUUUACCCGGGAUGAUAAUGACAGUACCGGGAGAAUAAGCCCCGGCUAACUCCGUGCCAGCCGCCGCAGUAAAAC